rnacentral:rRNA from 1 species
CACGUAGGGGGCGAGCGUUGUCCGGAAUCAUUGGGCGUAAAGAGCUCGUAGGCGGCUCGGUAAGUCGGGUGUGAAACCCUCAGGCUCAACCUGGGGACGCCACCCGAUACUGCCGUGGCUAGAGUCCAGUAGGGGAGUGUGGAAUUCCCGGUGUAGCGGUGAAAUGCGCAGAUAUCGGGAGGAACACCAGCGGCGAAGGCGGCACUCUGGGCUGGUACUGACGCUGAGGAGCGAAAGCGUGGGUAGCAAACAGGAUUAGAAAACCCAGUAGUCC